AAUGUAUAGAUAAUGAUGUAUCUCUAAGUAUUUAUUUGUUAAGAAGACUUUGUAUUUUGCUAUUACGAAAUAUAUACAAUGGUUAAUUAUUUGUCGGAAAUUAGAAUGGGAGUCUUUCUUAUUUCAUUUUUGUUCGUUCUUUUCAAUAGUUCUGGAUUUGUUACAAGUUACGGUAUACGGUUACAAGAACAGCCAUUUGUGACAGGAACAACAGGAGCCCCAGGUGGAUUUGGAGGAUGUGCUGCCUGUAGAGCUGUUUGCGAUUGCGCAUGUGUCAGACGAACCUGCACUGAUACAUCCUGUUGUGGACAAGAAGGAUUUAGAUCUGACACUACAUUACCAUCUUCACGUUACAGACAGGAUAUCUUUGAGGAUCCCAGGUUCAGAUUUAUGUUAUCUUUACCGCAAAAAUGGCGUUAUCUUGUAAAACGUCCACAGUGGAUCUUAUUUUGAAAAAUUGAACUUACUCGCAUUUUAAACUAUAUUUAAACUGUGUUUAUGUUGCAAUUAAAGGAAGUAAUAAGAUAA